UACAGAGGGUGCGAGCGUUGUUCGGAAUUACUGGGCGUAAAGCGCGCGCAGGCGGCCCUUUAAGUCCGCUGGUCAAAGACCGGGGCUCAACCCCGUGUCAGCCAGGGAUACUGGAGGGCUAGAGACACGUAGAGGCAAGCGGAAUUCCGGGUGUAGCGGUGGAAUGCGUAGAGAUCGGGAAGAACAUCAGUGGCGAAGGCGGUCUGCUGGGCCGUUGCCUGACGCUGAGGCGCGACAGCGUGGGGGAGCAAACAGGG
rnacentral:rRNA from 1 species